GCUGUAAAAAUAUCACAAUCAUAUGAUAAUCAAAAGUAAAUAUUUACCACCUUACACAUAUGGGAUUGUUUCCCAUAAUUUAUGUACCUAAUGAUAUAUUAAUUGCGAGAAUCGUAACAGUUUACACACCGUGAUGGGGGCCAACAGCAGCAAGAAGCUUGCAGCGAAGUGCUCCUUCUUGUCGAAGGAUGAGCAGGUCAUAGUGAGCAACUCCUUUCGACUUGCCAGCAAGAAUUCGGAUAGGAUAAAGGAAGAUGAGCUAACA